AUACCAUGACGAGGACAUCUCCUGAGUAAUUCCUUAAAUCUUUCCCAAGCAUCAUACAAGCUUUCAUCUUCUAGUUAAUAGAAGGAUGUGAUCUCGUUCCUCAAUUU
rfam:Citrus clementina cultivar Clemenules unplaced genomic scaffold scaffold_6, whole genome shotgun sequence.